rnacentral:pre_miRNA from 1 species
AGAAGUGUUAUAAUAUUACUCAAUUACUGCGACAUAGUCAUACAGCAAAUGUUGUGUAAAUUGAGUCCAAUGUUAACUGUAAGACUGUGUCUUGGUUUUUGAGAUUCACCUCUGGAUUUG